rnacentral:rRNA from 1 species
AUUGAACGCUGGCGGCAGGCCUAACACAUGCAAGUCGAACGGUAACAGGAAGAAGCUUGCUUCUUUGCUGACGAGUGGCGGACGGGUGAGUAAUGUCUGGGAAACUGCCUGAUGGAGGGGGAUAACUACUGGAAACGGUAGCUAAUACCGCAUAACGUCGCAAGACCAAAGAGGGGGACCUUCGCGCCUCUUGCCCUCGGAUGUGCCCAGAUGGGAUUAGCUCGUAGGUGGGGUAACGGCUCACCUAGGCGACGAUCCCUAGCUGGUCUGAGAGGAUGACCAGCCACACUGGAACUGAGACACGGUCCAGACUCCUACGGGAGGCAGCAGUGGGGAAUAUUGCACAAUGGGCGCAAGCCUGAUGCAGCCAUGCCGCGUGUAUGAAGAAGGCCUUCGGGUUGUAAAGUACUUUCAGCGGGGAGGAAGGGAGUAAAGUUAAUACCUUUGCUCAUUGACGUUACCCGCAGAAGAAGCACCGGCUAACUCCGUG